rnacentral:rRNA from 1 species
CAGCAGCCGCGGUAAAACGGAGGGUGCAAGCGUUAAUCGGAAUUACUGGGCGUAAAGCGCACGCAGGCGGUCUGACAAGUCAGAUGUGAAAUCCCCGGGCUUAACCUGGGAAUUGCAUUUGAAACUGUCAGGCUGGAGUCUGGGAGAGGGGGGUGGAAUUCCAGGUGUAGCGGUGAAAUGCGUAGAGAUCUGGAGGAAUACCGGUGGCGAAGGCAGCCCUCUGGACAAAGACUGACGCUGAGGUGCGAAAGCGUGGGGAGCAAACAGGAUUAGAUACCUGUGUAGUCCCUGUCCCUUAUAC